GUGGGGGUUGGUGAAGGCUUACUGAACCAGCCCCCCGUCCCGGGACAUGUGUAGCCUCUGGCAGACGCAUUCCUCGGGCCUCGAGGAAUGGCAACGAGGGACUGUCACCUGUCGCCGAAACACGAUCGGCUUUUUUUGCAUCCGGAACGUGGCGGUUUCAAAAGCUUCCCCCACCCCUCCUCCUUCUCUGUCUCCCUCUAAACAGAAAGAUCAGCCCCCGGGCCGCCUGCUCUCUCAGAUAUAUAUCUCACUUCCAUAGCGGGGGAAGAGAAGGAGUCUUUUCCCGCUGACAUCAAAGGAAAGACCGUGUGAACAGAGAUGACCCACAGAAAUACAGAGUUCUUUUGAAGACCCUGACCCAGAGUUACACGCUGACUAUGGCUCUUUGUGGGAGUGGGACCCGCCCUUCGUGGUUUCACGAAUGGCCGUUGUUCGGCCCGCUGAGGGCUCGGCCUACGAGGUUGGCUCGCCUUUGGAGGCCUAGGGUCUCAGGGUUCUGGAGGCGGGCAGUGUCACGGCAGGAGAUCCGUGUGUCACUGGGGGAGGCAGAGGAUCUACAGCUGCGUGCCCAGAGUCUCGAGAUCUUUGGACACAGAGCUCGAAAAAAGCGACGCAAUGGAAACCAGCGAGUUGUUUGUUAUGCCUCCAUUCUCACUGCGAAAGAAAGUCACCUCUUUCUCCCUUAUUAGGGAGGGAGCGAGCCUGUGGAGUCUGUCGUUCCUCCGCAACUGGAUUCACUCGUUUCUCAACGCAUGCCGUGAUGUGUCGUACCAGGUUCAGGGACAGCUUCUAGCCCACCAUUAUGAGAUGACUGAACAGUCCCCCACUUCGAAAAGAUGGCCUCUUGAUCUGACAAUCUACCUCGCUAUGAUCUUGCACCUUAUUACACUACUCUGUCCGUGUAACACUUCAUCACAUACUCUGAUAUUAUUCUACCUGGUUCUACCUCGAUGUCCUGAGUAAUGAAUUGGUCGAUAUGGACAGAAAGCAAAACAA